ACGUAGGGUGCGAGCGUUAAUCGGAAUUACUGGGCGUAAAGCGUGCGCAGGCGGUUUUGUAAGCCAGAUGUGAAAUCCCCGGGCUUAACCUGGGAACUGCAUUUGGGACUGCAAGGCUGGAGUACGGCAGAGGGAGGUGGAAUUCCACGUGUAGCAGUGAAAUGCGUAGAGAUGUGGAGGAACACCAAUGGCGAAGGCAGCCUCCUGGGCUAGUACUGACGCUCAUGCACGAAAGCGUGGGGAGCAAACAGGA
rnacentral:rRNA from 1 species